GAUGAACGCUGGCGGCGUGCCUAAUACAUGCAAGUCGAGCGAACAGACGAGGAGCUUGCUCCUCUGACGUUAGCGGCGGACGGGUGAGUAACACGUGGAUAACCUACCUAUAAGACUGGGAUAACUUCGGGAAACCGGAGCUAAUACCGGAUAAUAUAUUGAACCGCAUGGUUCAAUAGUGAAAGACGGUUUUGCUGUCACUUAUAGAUGGAUCGGCGCCGCAUUAGCUAGUUGGUGAGGUAACGGCUUACCAAGGGAACGAUGCGUAGCCGACCUGAGAGGGUGAGCGGCCCCGCUGGAGCUGAGAGCCGGACCAGACUCCUGCGAGAGGCAGCAGUAGGGAAUGUGGCGCAAUGGGCGAAUGCCUGACGGAGCAACGCCGCGUGAGUGAUGAAGGUCUUGGGAUCGAAAAACUCUGUUAGUAGGGAAGAACAAAUGUGUAAGUAACUAUGCAGGUCUUGACGGUAGCUAAUCAGAAAGCCGCGGCUAACUACG
rnacentral:rRNA from 1 species